GGUAAGGGCUCACCAAGGCGACGAUCCCUAGCUGGUCUGAGAGGAUGAUCAGCCACACUGGAACUGAGACACGGUCCAGACUCCUACGGGAGGCAGCAGUGGGGAAUAUUGCACAAUGGGCGCAAGCCUGAUGCAGCCAUGCCGCGUGUGUGAAGAAGGCCUUCGGGUUGUAAAGCACUUUCAGUCGUGAGGAAGGUAGUGUAGUUAAUAGCUGCAUUAUUUGACGUUAGCGACAGAAGAAGCACCGGCUAACUCCGUGCCAGCAGCCGCGGUAAUACGGAGGGUGCGAGCGUUAAUCGGAAUUACUGGGCGUAAAGCGCAUGCAGGUGGUUUGUUAAGUCAGAUGUGAAAGCCCGGGGCUCAACCUCGGAAUUGCAUUUGAAACUGGCAGACUAGAGUACUGUAGAGGGGGGUAGAAUUUCAGGUGUAGCGGUGAAAUGCGUAGAGAUCUGAAGGAAUACCGGUGGCGAAGGCGGCCCCCUGGACAGAUACUGACACUCAGAUGCGAAAGCGUGGGGAGCAAACAGGAUUAGAUACCCUGGUAGUCCACGCCGUAAACGAUGUCUACUUGGAGGUUGUGGCCUUGAGCCGUGGCUUUCGGAGCUAACGCGUUAAGUAGACCGCCUGGGGAGUACGGUCGCAAGAUUAAAACUCAAAUGAAUUGACGGGGGCCCGCACAAGCGGUGGAGCAUGUGGUUUAAUUCGAUGCAACGCGAAGAACCUUACCUACUCUUGACAUCCAGAGAACUUUCCAGAGAUGGAUUGGUGCCUUCGGGAACUCUGAGACAGGUGCUGCAUGGCUGUCGUCAGCUCGUGUUGUGAAAUGUU
rnacentral:rRNA from 1 species